CCCGGCCACCGCGGCCAAUCAGCGCGCCGCCCUAGCUCCUGACAACUAUUUAGCAACCCAGCCCGGCUAGAGUUUCCAAAAAAGUUAGAAUAACUUCCUCUCCCGGAGACCUCGGUUUUGCACAAGCCGGCCUUGAAAUCAGAGCCUUUCCAGCAACUCCGAGAGCGUGUGCUCGGCGACCGCGGGCUUGGCCAGCGGCGCGCGCUCGGCGCCCCGGCGCCCCCAGCCCCACGCGCGCCGGGCGGGCGCCAUGGAGGAGGGCUCCAGCUCGCCCGUGUCCCCCGUGGACAGCCUGGGCACCAGCGAGGAGGAGCUCGAGAGGCAGCCCAAGCGCUUCGGCCGGAAGCGGCGCUACAGCAAGAAGUCGAGCGAAGAUGGCAGCCCGACCCCGGGCAAGCGCGGCAAGAAGGGCAGCCCCAGCGCGCAGUCCUUCGAGGAGCUGCAGAGCCAGCGCAUCCUGGCCAACGUGCGCGAGCGCCAGCGCACCCAGUCGCUCAACGAGGCCUUCGCGGCGCUGCGCAAGAUCAUCCCCACGCUGCCCUCUGACAAGCUGAGCAAGAUCCAGACGCUCAAGCUGGCCGCCAGGUACAUAGACUUCCUCUACCAGGUCCUGCAGAGCGACGAGAUGGACAAUAAGAUGACCAGCUGCAGCUACGUGGCCCACGAGCGCCUCAGCUACGCCUUCUCCGUGUGGCGCAUGGAGGGCGCGUGGUCCAUGUCCGCCUCCCACUAGCGCCGCGCCACCCACCUCCGGACCGGCGCGCCAGGAGGAGAUUCUGAAUGAUGCUGCCAUUGCCAGACCUUCUGCUACCAAACAGAGCGAAGAGGAAGAGGGGGCAGUGUUUGGUCAAGACAGCCCACGCAACGUUGGCGGGAGUGAGCACAUUAGCAAUGGCUAAGAACACGCUUGAAUCAUUUGUAACCACCCAGGACAGAGAUGCCACAAGAGGACUUUGGGGAAAGGCGAAUCCACUCAUACAUCUUGGAGUUGUUUUUUCAAGUUCAGAAAAUGAACCUUCACCAAGGUCUUGGACCAUGAAGCAGAGACUCUGGUGCUGACUCUAUCAUUUGAGCUCCUAAGGGUACUCAUGCCCAGUGGAGCGUGCACACCAGCAACACCGCCAACACCAUCUCGGUGUCCCACCCCUUAGAGGAGGAAGAGGAUACAGAGGGGCGCCCAGUAAUAACCCUCAUUUCCUCUCUUCCACCCCACCACAUCAUCUUAAUAAAACAUGAAGGUAACUGAAUGAGUACGACUCCCUCAUUAUCAAUUUAAUCCUGUGUCUCUGUUGAUGUAGGUCAGUUAAGCUUUUUCAUGGGCUCAUUCAGUAUCUCGCUCUCUCUGUCUCUUUCCCCAUGAGACUUACACUCUUCCGGCCAGAUUCUGGUGCCCUGGGCAUGUUUAGGAAUCAAAUCCUGGCAUUCGGCUGAAAGUAAUGCAAUUAAAAUAUCAGUUUCUCAAAUGCCAUCUACAAAUUACUUUUUUGUUUGUUUUAGACAAUCCUUUGUUUUAAAACCCUUGCUUUGGCACUGGAGGCAGACUUGGUGGUCCUCUGGAAAGUUGACUCUCUCCCUUCACACUCCUCAGAGCCCCUGUGGUUAGGCAGGGCCAUAGGACUAGUUCCAGCCAAUGAGCUUUGGGAGGAAGCCUCGGCGCAGCUUCCAGGCUAAAGUUCAGAAGAAGCUGUGUGCAGGACGUCAGGUCUCUUCUGCUGCCCCAAGUGCCUGAAGAGGCCGCAGGUUCUCAAGACCGUGGAGGCUCUACCAGCCUGAGUCCCUUCGUGACUGCGUGGAGCAGAGUCCCUGCCAACCUGAAUGAGCAAGAAGCAAAUGACUGCUGCAUGAACCUCCUGAGAUUCAGGGGCUUCUUUGUUGCAGCGUGAAGCCUAACUUGUUCUGCCUGAGACAGCACUGACAUGAGCAGGAAAACCAUCUCAUAACCCACGGCCGCCUCUCGUGUUGUCCUGAAAGCCUUAUGCAGGCAGACUUUGCGUGUGAAACGAGUGGGCCAUUUAAAAUUCAUGUGAGAGGAGCUCAGUUCCGAAAGACACUUUUCACUCAAGUUUUUUACAAAUCACAAAAUGUUCCCAAGGUGUAACCAUAGCUUCAUUUGUUAUUUACUAAAUGUGGCUCUGUAUGCCAGAUUUCUUUAAAGUAACUCAAAUGUUAGGAUGUUGAGAGAUGUAACCAUUUUGCACUUUGCCUAAGCAUUAUUUGAAUUCUUAUCUUUGGCUCAAUGUCUUCUGCCCUGUUUUCAGAGUCCUGUCUCCAUUUCAGGUUUUGUUGAAGUGUUCUUCCCUCUACUCACUUUCAUCCUUCUUGUUUGAUUGCAGGGCCGUGCUUUGUUUUAAAGCAGAUUCAACCUGAAUUCUUUAAAACUGCACAGAACAUCUGCAUCACAUCUAUUUAUUGACAAAGCUUGAUUAAAGACAACCUGGGAGGGAGGUGGAUUUCUGGACCAAGGAUUGAAAGUAGAUGGCUGGAUUCCCUUAUAAACAUCGACUUUGACACCACUCUGUAUAUUCAUGGGGUCUGUAUUAGAAAAAGAAAUUACUCAAGGAUGUUGAGAUGAAGUUUAAGUGGUAAUUACAUGCAUUAAAAAUGGCUAUUUAAGGGAAGGAUGAUUCCCACGUAAGGAGUGUAAGAAGUCGUAGCCCCUGAUUUAGUCAGAAAUAUUGUAGCAAGCAUUUGGAGACUUCAGUUCACUAUGCAGCUUGCAUAAUAAUGGCGAAGUCCUGUUCAGGAUCCCUAGAUCUCAGCUCUGCCAUAUUUCAACCAAAAUCAGUCAUUUCUGGCUUUCAAACUCAGGCACAUUGUUGCAACUCAUGAAGAAGUAAAUGUGAAUAUUUGGAAAAAUACACAGCUAUGCAUGUCACACGUGCAUAUGAGAUUCCCACCAAUGACUGUCCAGGCUGAUUCUAGCAGAGAGGAGGAGACUGGAGAUGUUCUUUGACACGCAAAUGGUUGUAAAUGUUCUCUUAAAAAAAUUCCAGUGUCAUCCUUGGGUCUGUCCUGGUCACAUAUUCCCAGGGUGGCAGCAGGCAUCAUAGGGCAGGAAGUGGCCAUCCCUGGAGCCCUGGAUCCCACAGAGGACUCCUGGAGGCAAUCUUAGAAGUCCAGCCCAAAAGAAGAGCCAGGUUUGAUUGGACUGUCAUUCAGUUCCCCGAAUUACACUGAAUUCUGAAUCGUGGACUGGGUAGGAACAAUGUGAGUGUAAAAUCUCCACCCUCAAACCAUGAAUUCAGUAAAUCAUGACUCGGGCAAACUUGGGACAAGGGUGGCCCUCCUUAGAGAAGCAGUGUGUGUAUAUGUGUAUCUGCAUGUAUAUAUGGUACAUAUAUUUAUAUAUACACACAUAUAUAUACACAUAGACGUGUGUACCAUAUGUACAUAGACUGUAGAUGGUGGGUGUGUAUAAAUAUGUGUACACCAGAUAUAUAAAUAUCAAAGACCCUAAAGCCACUGCCAGCCUGCUCUUCCAGAGCCCAAACUGUCCCCCACCCAUCCCUGUGUUUCUUGGGUCCAGAGCAGAGCUCCGUGCUCACUUUGCGCAUGAUAGAUAUUUGUUGUGGAGUUGUCUCAUCUCAAAGAAAAUUAUAUUUGUAUUUAUUCCUUCAUGGUUACCUGAGUUAUCUAAGCUGCAGUGAAUAGUCCUCUACGGCCCCACUGCAGUCGUAACAUGGAGUAGGAUUCCACCCCUCACAGGCUGGUGGCCACAUUUGUAAAUGACUGCUCUGAUGCUCUGAUACUCAGUGCGUUCAUUACAGAUUUCUUAAUAUUAAGUGAGCACCUGCUACGUGUUCUCCCACUUGCAGGGCAGGUAGUACCAGCCCAUUUUAUAGAUGAGAAAUGGAUUGCCAAGGAUGAUAUAUAAGUGUAAGAACCCACAUGUGGGCGAGGGUGCCCGGCUGGCUGGAGAGAAGAGCUGCCUGGGUGGAGGCUGCCCAGCCUGGCCUGUGCCUUCACAGAGGUGCCAGGGAGUGCAAAUGGGCCAGGGGGAGCCUGCUCCCAGGGCUUAGUUUUCAAGGACAGCUGCGUGGAGGAUGCGUUUUUAAAGACAUCCCUGGAGAGCAAGGUUCACCUGGGGCAGUGGAGCAUCUGGAGCAAAGGCCUGCAUUGGCCUCUGCACAUGGCCAGGGAGGUGACAACACCAGGGAUGCCACACAGCCAGGAGCCUGCUGGGCUGGGGUCAGCCAGGCCACCUGCCAUGCUUGUGGCCACUCCAGCCUGUAUCCCCACAGACGCUGACCGCUGCUCUGUGCAGGACCGGCACAGUGAGAGCACACCCCGGCCUGCGCAGGGCAGGCACCCUCCAGAGCCUGGGUGAAAGUCCGGCACCUCCCCAUCAGAUCCUCACUUAGGAGACGGCCACUGAGAGCCCGUGAUUGCACAAGCCUUGUAAAAAAGAGGGAACGCAUUCUAAAGCCACACGAUCCAGGUGAUCCUUCCCCACUUAGGGUUUUUGUUCCAGAGGUAUGACCAGAAAUGUGUGUGCAUGUGUGGCCAACUCUCAUUCAUGUCAUUUUCUAGUUCUGGAAAAAAAUUCACUGUUUAGGAAAAUAUAGAAUAUUCAAAAACACAUUGAAAAUAAAAUCAAAUGCCAUAAGACUUGUUGGAGCAUGCUACAGUUUAUAAACGGGGUUUUAUUGCAGGAAUGCCGAAUUUUUAAAAAUUGAGUAAUCACGACUAUAUUUCUGUAUCUCUUUACUUGACCCUUGAGGCUGCGAGUCUUCUGGGGCAGGAGGAUUAGUCUCUAAGCUCUCGCAUCAAAGACAGCCUGAGAAGGCUCUGAGGGAUCUGUUCUCCCAGGGUCUGCCCUUCCCAGAUUGAAAUCGUUCUGCCCACUGUCAUCACAAACAGCACUGAGACACUCGACUCCUUAAAGUUCUCAGAUGCCACGGUGUAGUCUCACCUGCACCCCGGGACCUUGCCAGCUAUUUGUGGGCUGAUAAGAAUCCGUGCACUUUCACUCCUGUUCUCGGAUCCCCCGAGGUUCGGCGUGGUCCAGCUCUCAGUUCUGCAGUUCACUCACCACUUUUAGACGGAGGACGUCGAUUAGAUUGUGGAUCAUGACAUUCGCAGUCUGAUCUCAAAAAUGAAAUGUCAGGAAUUGCAGCCUUUUGUUAGAGUCUGAUGCAGGAGAUCUCGAACACGUUUUCCAGAGCCGUCCCCAGCUCCAGGUGCUCUUAGAUCAGUGAGGCCACCUUGACCCUAUCGGGAGCAUUCGGACUCCUGGUAAACCUCUCUCAGUGGACAGCAGAGCUGUGCUUGUCAACGGCCUUCGGGCCCAGCGCCCUCACUGUGCCCAGUGGGGAUAUCACUGGUCAUGGCUGAUGACUGGCCGAGCACCUGUGUGUCUCCUCAAAAGGAACCUGGGGCUUGGCCGGCAUGGCCUAUUCCUUGUGCUGGUCUGCAUUUCGGCCUGGACUUCUGUGUCUCUGUGUGCUGUCCUGAGGCCUGCGGGCUCCCAGGUGUCUGUGUUCCAGUGUAGGGGGAGCUGGAGGGUGAGAGGGUCUGGCAAACGUCCUUCCCCUGGCAGAUCUAGGAGGCAUGUGAACAGGGGGACGGUUUACCCCAGGAGGAGGCCGAGGUCCUGAAAGGCAGGUGGGGGCCUUGAGACAAGAAAGCGAGAAGGUUCGAGGGUCAUCCUUGGCUGGCUGACAGCACCCUCACUCUGGGAGCUGGAAGCUGGGAAGGCAGAGGCGUGCACAUUUUCCAGGCUUGAGUCCAAAAACCCCGCUAUUCUCCGUGUCUCUGCUGCCUCACUGCCUUCCUCUGUUUGCCCCUAGAGACCCAAGCGCUGGGUCUGCGGAGUCCGCAGGGAUGUCUUUCUGUGUGAAUGAGCAGCCACUGCGUGUGGGAGGAUUGGGCUAUGUAGGACAAGCUGUAUUUGUGCACCUGCGCAAGGCGGGACCACUGAAAUUUAGCCUUGGAGUUCGUUCACGGAGCCGCUGACCACUUAUCCCUUCCUCUUCAGCAUGUGCUUGCUGCUGAGCCAUGCGGGUUCUGUGUUCUCUGUUAUGUGCCGGUGUGUGGACUGGAACCCGCCUGCAGCAGCCACUCCCACCUGCCCUCGGGACCCUGACUGUACAUGGGCAGAGCCAGGCAACCACCGGAAGGGUGAGUCGUUCCCCAGGACUCAGCGGGCACCUCACCGCGGAACGCAGACACCUGAGAGCCCGCAAGCCUCAGGACAGAGAGAAACAGAGGUCCAGGUGGAAAUGCGGAGGCGGCACGAGGAGGGGGCCCUGCCUGGGUGCAUGUGCGCUGCACCACGUGUUACCCGUGAGGAGAAGAUACACAGGUGCUCCGCCGAUCACCAGCCAGGACCUUCCCCAGUCGCCUGUCCAGCCUGGGCUGUUCACUCAUCCUGUCCUGCCCCUGAAAUUUACUUUUUCCCUCUAAUAUGGUUUUUUGUUUGUUUUGUUUGAGAUGGAAUCUUGCUCUGUCGCCCAGGCUGGAGUGCAGUGGCGUGAUCUCGGCUCACUGCAACCUCCGCCUCCCAGAUUCAAGCAAUUCUCCUGCCUCAGCCCCCCGAGUAGCUAGGACUACAGGCGACCACCACCACGCCUGGCUAAUUUUUUGUAUUUUAGUAGAGACGGGAUUUCACCAUGUUGCCCAGGCUGGUCUUGAAUUCCUGAAAUCAGGGAAUCUGCCUGCCUCAGCCUCCCAAAGUGCUAGGAUUACAGGUGUGAGCCGCCGCACCCGGCCUUCUAAUAUGUUUUUUUCAAUCACCACCACAGGCCUCUACUAGCUGAUUUUACCUUAACUGAGGCAAAGUCUUCAACACUUAGUGUGUGCUAGUUGAUUUCUUAAUAUGAUGUGUUUCUCAACAGAGAUCAGUUUUAUUCAUGUGGUGCAGAAGUUUGAGAAUCUGAAAUGGGCUAAAAGUAACUGAGUCCAGAGCUUGGGAAGCAAAAGGCCUGUCCCUGUUGCAGAAUGGUCUGGUUAACCACGCCCCCAACUGCUCCGCCAGAAACUCCAACUCUGCAGGCCUAAAAGCACCUCUGCCACACCUUCAGCUGAAAUCUGAGUUCCCAGGGAUUUGUGGGACCUGACAUUGAAUUAUAGGAGGAUUCUUCCCAUUGCUUAGGUUUUUGCAUUCUUCUGAAUAUAGGUGAAUAGAUGCAAAAAAUUUCAAAAAUAGCUUAUUUUAUCAGAGGCAUUUGAAAAAAAGACUGCCCAAUAAAACAUUUAAGUAGAGUUACUCUUGUACACAGUUUCGCAUUUUAAAAACGGCCUAUUUUUUCAAGAUUAAUUUGAAGGACUAAAAGCUGGCCCUAGUUACAGAUAUGGCUUAUGGUCAGCGUUGUUUAAUUAUUCAGAACAGUUUUAUAUCCCCCAGUUAAAAAUUGUUCAAGGGAGACAGUCCCAGAAUCAUUCUGCCACACUUUCCAGGCCCCGCACUCCCCAGAAGCACAGCCUGUGCCUCUCCACUCAGAAAACAGGCCCCGGAGCCUGGACACCUGGGCUUAAUUCCCAGGGCUUUGUUCCUCCGCUCUCUGAGCAGAGUGGCUUCCUGCCUCUCAAAGCCUCCGUGUGCUGAGGCUCAGAACCUGGAACACGGGCGCACUGAUUGCAUGAGAUGGUUGAGAGUCUUCAGCCGAAUCCCAGACAUACAGUGUGAGGCCCGGCACUCAGGAAGCGCUGAUCGCCGGCCGCCAUUGUUCGCAGCUUCUGGCACUUUCGCUGUCCCACCAAAUGUGUGGAAGACCAUUCCCAAGGAGCGCCGACCCCCUGGCCUCCGCAGCAGCCUGCACCCGGCUGAGCCUGCUCUUCUGAAGUCCUGGACCCUGGUGACCUUUCCGACGCCCGGUCCUCCUGCUAGCAGGGGGUGGUGCUCACCAGCCCUCCCUUGACACCCCCUGGUGUCAGUUCUCCCCGGCCUUGCCUCUCCUACCACAUGCCUCCUUCCCAGCCUGUCCCUCCGCUUGCCCCUAAAUAUCUGCCUCCUCCAGUUCUGCCAUGGACGGAGGUGUAGACCAGGAAUCUGAGCCCAUCUUUGGAAUCCAGAGGCCUGGGUUCAAAUCCUAGCAAAGUAAGCAUCUCAACCUCUGUGCCGAUUCCUCCUCUCUCCAAAGGGAGAAUAAAGUUGGCCUCAGUCUGGAGAAUCUGCCUCUGAAGCCCCCACCCUCUUCUGGGGUUCCCAGCAUGUCCCUUUGCUGAGUGAACUGCCCUUCAGGGUGUCCUGAGGACUCCAGCAGCUCCACGUGGCUGACACGGGUCUUGUUGCCCCCGAGAUGACUCCUCUCUAGAUCUGAGUCUAGCUUCUGGGUCGGGAUGCACCCAGCCACCCAAGCUGGGCCCCUGAGCGGCCCCUCGCCACCCCCACACUCAGCAGGUCACCGUGUCUGGUGGGUGGCCCCUUGCCACCUGCACAGCUGCUGUCUCCAUGUGGUCCUGGCCUCCCUCUGGGCCACUGGGGGAGCCGCCCUGCCCAGGCCCCACCUCGGGGUCUGUCCCCUGCCAGCCAGAGCUACCUCUGACAGAGAGAUCUGAUGGUGUCUGUGGCCCCCCAAACCUUUCCUGGCCUCCUUGUCGCCUUGGGGAGUCCCACCAAUUCCUGCCUCCUCCCCAGAGUCAAUGCUGUCUUUACCUCCAGAUCCCUCUCCCCACCUUCCUGGCUGUGCCUCCCAUCUCUGCCUGUGCCCACGAGGCCCUUCCACCCCUCUCAACUGGGACUGAUCUCCUUGAAGACCUGGCUGCAAUCCCGAAUUCUGUGACAAGCUCUCCAAACCCUCAGAAAUAUAACUGUCACCUUCCCUGUAUGUUUAUUAUGGACCUUUUAAUCUCUGUAUUAUAAUAAUACAUUUGCAGUCAUCACCUAUAUUUAUAUUUCAUAGCAAGAUUGUUGCAGACCUGAACGUACUUUUAUUGUACUUUUAUUAUUACAUUUUUGUGAUAGUGAUUUGUUCUGCUGCUUGUCUCCCCAAAUGAACUGUGAGCCAGGUGAGGCACGUGCCUGCGUCAGGCAGAGCGCCCUACACCGGCAGCCCUUCUGUCCAUAUUUUCGUUCGCUGCUGCUGCUGUUGCCGCUGCUGCCACUGCCGCUGCCACUGAGAAGGCUGUGUCUUCAGAUAGUCAUGUGUUCUGUCAAAAGACAUUUGUAAAGUUCACGCCCCUGGUUUGGACCAGUGUGUCAGUGCUGUGGAUACAAAAGGUAUUUCCAGCCCAGGGCUUAGCUGACUUGCGUUCUGGGGGAGAUUCUGUACCCACUUGGUGACUUGGGAUGUCAGGCCCUUCCUCACCUUCCUGUGGCCCCGUUCUCUCCGUGUCUGAAAAGACACUGCUUGGCCAGAUGGCCCCCAGAGGGGCCUCCAGCUCCACCAGCUGGAAACGGGGCCCACAGGGCGGUUCGUGUUCCAUCAUCUUCCACUCAUGGGUUUUAUUUGGAGACUGAAUUUGGUGGCAUCUGGAGAAGUUGUGACUCACGGGUUGAAGGGGUUCCUGGACUUGCAGGCCCCAGGUACUGGGAGCAGUGGGAUGCUCUCCUGCCAUCUGGCUGCUCGUGGCUGGCCAGCCCUCGCUGUCUCUGAAAGUUGGGAGGGGUCCCUUUGCAGUGCUCCCAGGACACUCAUCGUGGGGAAAUGGGAAGGUCUCACAGAGAGGAAGAGGGUGGGGCAGAUCCUGAGGGACCGGUCAGACCCUGCGGCCUCAGCCCCGGCAGAGCCCGCCCUGGAGAGCCUGGGGGUUGCCAGGUGGACAGGGAGCGGCUCUGCAGGGUGGCCUCUCCGGCAGUGAUGCUGGGGGCUCCAAGCAGGAAGGAGCCGGCCUGGUCCGCUGCAGACAAGCUCGCCCUCUCCCCUGGUUUCCUUGGGCUGACUCCUCCUUGCCAGAUAGGCCAUUCCAAGCACAGUCAGCCUGAGUCCCUGAAGCCAAGCCCAAGCUGAGGGAGAGAGACAGCCUGGCUUCCAGCUGGCGUGAAGUCCUCGCUCCCCUGGAGGAGCCAGGCCAGGCCAAUAGCCACCGGGAGCCCCGGCGUUGUAAAUAGGGUCAUUCCCACAUUCCCAGCAGGAUUCCUCCUUCUCAGGCGCAGCAGGCAAGCCAGGGUCAGAGGCAUGAGUCACGGAGGGGGGAGAGAGGGGCGGGGAUCCGGAAGACGGCUCUGCAGUCGCCUGACUGCACCCUGCCUACUGACCCUCCAGACCCUGACGGCGAAUGCCCCAUGUGUGGGGCAUCCAAAAGCAUGCCUGCCGUGCCAUCAAACCAGACAGGGAUGCAGAAAGCACGGGAGACGUCCAUAGCAUGGGGAGCAAACAGGCCACUGUCCCCAGGGCCACCAGGCUGCGCUGGAAUCACAGGCUCCCUGUAGGACCCCAUUUCAAGCCAGUGGUGCUGGAAGUCCCUCUGGAGGCCGCCUGGCCGAGCAGUGUCCUUUCAGAGAUGGAGGGACCUGGGGCACAGAAACGUGGGGUGGGGUGUGACUUAUCCCAAGUCACCAGCUGGCUCCCUAAUAUCAGGCUGCCACCUGACCACGUCCUGAGCCACUUGUCUCAAAAAUCCCCGAGGCCCUGUAAGAGCUCAGAGCAGGCAGCACCUGGUGCAUUUGUCUGACCAGCAGACACCCAUCAGUCCUCUGGGGGUCCUAGGAACUUUGGGGUGUGAGUGGGGGAAUCUCACCCAUGCAGUCAUUCCUGGGAAGGCCUGACUCUCCACAGGGGAAUGGGGCCAGCCGCUACCACACACACACAUGCUCUGGGAUUUUAGUUCUGGCCCAUUUCUUGGAGUACCAUGGGCACGUGGUGGCCUCCUUGUCACUCACCAGCCUGCUGAGAAUCACAGGGCAGAAGCUUCCACCCGGAGCCCACAGACAGAGACAAGAGGGUCCUGCCUGUAACAGUCACUGCUUCCAUUUGGAGAAAGGUAGGCACGCCCCAGGGGGAGGGAGGCACCUGAGUGAAGGAGUGAGGGCAACCUGGCAGAGCCAUUCAGGUGAACGUUGUAAAAAACAAAUUAAUCUCAGAAUUCUAAUUGUUUCUUGAUUCCCAUUUGCUUUCAAGAGAGAACAGAGCCUGCUUUCCACCCCUUUCCUCUUAGCCUCACCAUCAUCCCAUAGAAAUAUUCACCAAAUCCUCCAACGCCCCCUUUGAAAGUCGCUGUCAGGGACGGUAUCCCUGCGUUCCUCCUGCCGCACUUCUCCCUUGGUUGCAGACAUUGAUUCUUAGAUGGUCCUGUGGUGGGACUCAGGGGGGAUGGUAAGCUUUUGCUGUUUCCCUUGUGAUUUUCUGUCCUCCGCGCGCCCCCCUGCCCCUGUGUCCCCCAAGCUUCCAGGGCCUGCUCACAGCUGGAGGAGCCACGGAGGUUGGCCAGGAGGAGGGGAGCCUGACCCCCAAGGACACCUGCCUUUUUACCAAGUGGGACCCCCUUGCCACCUUCCCCCUACAGCACCCAGCAAGGGUGGCAGGGCAGCUGGCUUCCUGACAUGCCAGGCCCCACCAACCCAGGCCACCCUGGUGCCUGGCUCCCUAGUGAGGAGUGGCUUUUCCUGCUCAGGGCCAGCCUUGUGCUCAGCUGCUCAGCCUCUGAGGUCCCCUGCCCUGCUUAGAGCUUGCAGUGCAGAUGCGGCCUGGAAGGAGGCAUCACACUCUCUACCGUGAAAGCAGCACUCUGCAUUUCCUCCCCCGCCUCUGGACAAGACAUUUGUCAAAAAGACAGUGCACUGGGGAGAAGGCUCUGGGGUGGAGGUGGCCAGCUUCAUGCUGGCACUGCCCAUCCCAGCCCGGGCUGGCAGCAAGCUGGGAGCCUCCCCGGAGCCGUCCAGCCCUUGGUGGCCAAUGGUCUCUUUGAACCCUUACCCAGAUGGAACAAGGAAACUCGUUCAGCAGAGCAGGAGGGACUCUCCCGAGAGUCUCCAUGGGGCCUGCUGCUGGCACCCUGAUGCCUGCCCAUUGGGUGGGUGAUCACUGAGGCAUGGUCCACAGGGCUGGACUCGGCCUGGGUGCACAGCUCUGUCCACUGAGUGUCCUGCCUGCCCCCAGGCCCUCCUGCCUGCCUGAGACUGUCUCAAGAGGGCUGGAGGCUGUGUCAGGACCCUUCAGAGGAACUGCAACUGGCGAACGCGGUCUCAGGGCCCGGGUGCUGCGGGUGGGGCCAGCCCCGAGCAGGGAGCAUCUUGCCUGUAACCAGCUGCCCCGAGCAGGGAGCAUGUUGCCUCUAACCAGCUGUGUGACAUAGUGUGGCCCAGCCUCAGCUGACCCCUCUGAACAGGGCUGAGUUGUCACAGGAGAUGAAUGACAAGGCCGGAUAUGUUCAGCCUCAUCUCUCUGCCCAAAAAACAUCUUAGAUGAACUGGAGAUUUUGUCAAAGUGCAGAUGUUGACUCUGAGGCUCCGAGGCCUGAGACUGCAUCUCUGAAAGCUCCUGGGGAAUGGUGCUGUUGCUGGUCCGGGGACCAACUGGGUAGCAAGAACUUAGAAUGCCCAUGAGGCCAUUGAGGAUGCAAAGAUCGCUUGGGUCUAUUGGAUUGGUACAAAAGGGGAGUUCCCGCCAGCCGCUCCUGAGACACAGCUCAGGGUGGGCGCAAUGUGGGCGAGAGCUCCUUGGGUGCAGCUGCCCCGAGGGGGCUGGCCUUGCUUUCUCCUUCCUCUCCCCUGAGGUGGGGGUGAGUUCUCUGACCACUGUGGGGAGAAGGCACCCAUGUCGGCCCAGCCUUCCAGAUAGUGCCCUCGUGCUAAGGGCUUUGAGGCUUCCGUUGGGGUGGGGGCUGGAUGGGCAAAGUCCUGAAGGGGAGGCCCAGGGAGAAGUUGGCAGAGGGUCCCGGCCCUUGCAUCCUGUGGCCUUUCUGUCUACCCAGGUUCACUCAGGCACAGCUUUGUUAUUUGGAAGCCUGUGGUCAGGCAGCUCCGGCGCCGGCUCCUGGUGGGCCCCUUGGCACCGUGUGGUGGUUGGGCAAUGUGACCGGUGACUGCUCCCCUACAUAGUAUGUGCCUGGGUCAGAAGGUGGGCAGAGGCUGCCGUCUGUGCCCUGCUGCCCUCCGGCGUCUGACCUGGCAUGGCCCAGCAUUACUGGCCUCUUUGCUGUUGGUAUUUACAGCCCUGUCCAUCAUCUAUCCGGUCCUGGCCUCGGCCUGCCAAGCCAUGUGACCGCUGGCCACGGGAGCCACCUGCUUGGUCUGCACGGUCCCCGCAUCCCUAAGGCUUCAGCUGCUGGUUUCUCUCUGCUUUCUUCAUUGUAGUCCCUCUUUCGACAAAUAUUUAGUGAGCACUUAUGAAGUGCCAGGAGCAGUUCUAGACCCAGUUGGGGAAGAAAACAGCUCCUUGCUCUCUUGGGCUCCUGUUCUCAUGGCAACAUGUGUGUUGACCAUAGACCAGGCAAGGCCAAGCCUUUCUGGUGAAGUAGCUCAUUGAGCCCUCACAGCACUGAUGCAGCACGUCCUAUUGUUACCCUCACUUGGGUGUUUUGCAGAAGUGGAAACUGAGAGCUGGACAGGUUAAUCCACUUUCCCAAGGCUGCGCCACAGAGAGAGGCAGCUGGGCUUCAGCCUCAGGCCAGGCUCCAGGGCCCGUCUCAGGGAGAGCUCAGGAAACCAGGCCUUGGAAUUGCACACACCCCUCUCUGUGCCCAUCCCAGCAUGCUCUCACCGUCCCUCCUUUCACAGAUUUCCAAAUGGUAACAUUCUGCAUUCCUGGAAUAAACCCUUCUUGGUCAUCUGGAAUUGGUUCUUUAAAUACCCGACUUGACUUGAUUUGCUAACGUCUUAGGAUUGUUUGCAUUUAGAUUCACAGGCGGCAACGUUCUAGCCUUUGGUUCUGAUGCCGUCAGGACAGGUGUCCAAACCGUGUCAUCUUUUUAUGAAGGAUGCUGGGUAUGGGUGGGAGCAGAGGGUAUAUGGGAAAUCUCUGGACCUUCCUCUUAAUUUUGCUGGGAACCUGAAGUGCUCUAAAAAAAUAAAGUCUUUACAAAGAAAGAAAGAAAGAAAUAUAACUAAAUAAUAAAAUGGGAAGUGGUCCUUCAUCUUUAAAUUCUGGAAUAGUUUAAUAUAGAUGGGAAUUAUCUGUUCAUAGAAAGUUCUAUUUAAUUCUCUUAUAAAACAAGCGGGUUUGUUAUUCUUCGUGGCUUAGAUACAGACCUUUGUAACCUGGUCCACAUGUCUGAUGGCUAUCGAUACAUUUGGGUUUCCUGCUUUUUCUUGGAUGAGUUUGGUAACUCGGACAGCAUGAGAAUUAAGAGUGUGAGUUCACGAAUCCGACUGCCUGGUGUCAGUCUGGCUCCUGCUGUCCUUAUUCAUUGUGUGACUGGGCAGACAGAAGCUUGGAGUGACCGGGGACCCACAGAUGUGCCCGGUGUGGCCAGAAGCUGUAGGGGUUGCACACCCCCUGGACUCCUGCCCCCAGUUGACCGUGGGCCUCUCAAGAUUUUCCUUACAGCCCCUUUCCUUCUCCCCAACAUUCUUAUUUGUUUGUUUUUCACUGGGGGAUUAGUCCAUCAUUUGUUGUCGUACUUGCAGAGAAAGAAGCCCCAGGAAUACCCUUCCUUUGGACAGAAGGCAUUUCUAGUGGAAUUUCCCUGGAGCAGCUGCUGAGCGGUGCACAUUCUGCAGCUGCAUUGCUUCUCUCGCUCUCCCGCAUGGUCCCUGGACUCGCUGGGUAUGGACUUUUGGGGCUGCCCUGCUCUUUCCACCAACACUCUGGACAUUCUGGGAGUGUCACUGAGUAGGGGUGGUGAGCUUGUUUGGAAGCCAGCAUGCAUCUGCUGGUUGUCUAGGUCUGGAAGCCGUAGGAGGUUGCCCUACUCUUAGAGCCCAGAGAUUUCUCCGUGAUUCAGCUGGGUUGCCCCUCCUCUUGUUUUCCUUCCUGGAACUUGGUGUUCCCUUUUAGUCUGAAGAUUAUCCUGAUAAUCUGAAGAUAAUCCUGAACGUGGAGACACGUUCCUCUGCCAUUUUUUCUGAUCGUUUCUGCCCUAUCCUUUCUCCUUCCCCCCGGCUUUUUUUUUUUUUUCGGAGUCUCACUCCAUUGCCCAGGCUGGAGUACAGUGGCAAUCUCAGCUCACUGCAACCUCUGCCUCCCAGGUUCAAGUGUUCUCCUGCCUCAGCCUCUGGAGUAGCUGGGAUUACAGGUACGUGCCAACCAUGCUGGCUAAUUUUUGUAUUUUUAGUAGAGAGAGGGUUUCACCAUGUUGGCCAGGCUGGUCUCAAACUCCUGACCUCAAGUGAUCCACCUGCCUUGGCCUCCCAAAGUGCUGGGAUUCCAGGUGUGAGCCACCGUGCCGGCCUCCUUUGCCUUUUGCUCAGCAUUCUGGGAGACUUCCAGGAGCACUCUCUGAUGUAUUUGUUUUUCUUCAUUUUUAAAUUUUUAAAAACUUCUCCUUCUAUUUGUUUUGUUGUUUCCAGCAGUCCUUGUUUUGUUUCCUAAUGGUUCCUUUUUUUGAAGCAGACAAUUCUGGUUUUCUCCAGGCUCCUCCUCAGUGGGUGAAUUCUGCUGCUCUGAGGCUGGAUCCCUGUGCAGAGGCCUCUGCUAGGCGUUCAGCCUGGAGGUGCCCCCUGAGUGGCCCUCGGGUCCCUGGGGUAUCUCCUUGUCUGUUGUGCACUCACGCCGAUGGGAGGUCUCGCUGACCACGCUGAGCGGUUCCAUACCUCUGGUUGACUCGGGGUGGCUGAGGUGGGUGUCUGAGGGGUCAGGAGGCUGGGUCCAGACUCGGCAGGGGACAGAGAGCCCCCACUGAAGGACCGCGCCCACCAGGCACUCAGGAGAAGAGAGGAGUGGCUUUGUGGGGUGGCCAGGACCCAUCAAGACCCAUGGGGGUGGCUGGCAGCUGGGACUUCUCCAUGUCUGUGAACUCUGCUGUGAUCUCACCCUGGCACGUUCCCUAGCCCUGAGCAUCUGGAAGCCCAGGGUUGAGGGUGUGGUGGGGGAGGGAGAGGAGGUGGGGGUGAGAGCAUUUUUGCAUGAACUGGGGGAUGCCAGGGUCCUGUGGAGGCAAAGCCUCCUCCGCUGUGAUGCCAGGGGCUGAGGAAAGGCAGGGAAAGCUCAGGGUAAUGAAUGUCCUGGACAUCCGCUCCAUGCUGUGGACGAUGGUCACAGCCCACGCUUCUGUGGCCAGAUUCUGACCCCUGAUCCUCAUUUUUGCCCCUCCAGGGUCCCCUGGCAGAACCUCAGGGGUGUGUAAUGGUGUGUGUGUGUGUGCGAGAGAGAGAGAUAUGGGGUAUGUGUGAUGUGGAGUACGUGUGUGUGUGAUGUGUGUGGUAAGGAGUUUGUAUGAAUUGGGGUGUGUGUGAUAUGGGGUAUGUGUGAUAUGGAGUAUGUGUGUGUGAUGUGUAUGUGUGGUGUAGGGGGUGUGUGGUGUUGGGUUUGUGUGAAUUGGAGUGUGUGGUGUAUGUAUGUGUGUAGUGUGGGGUUUGUGUUAAUCAGGGUGUGUGUGUGAUGUGAUAUGUGUGUGAUAUGGGAUGUAUGUGAAUUGGGGUAUGUGUGUGGUGUGAGGUGUGUGUGUGAUGUGGAGUGUGAGUGAUGUAGGUGUGGAUGUAGUAUGGGGUGUGUGUGUGGUGUGUGCAUGUGUGUGCGAUGUGGGGUUGUGUAAUGUGAGUUGUGUGUGUUGUAGUGUGUGUGAUAUGAGUUGUGCAUGAUGUGAGGUGUGUGAUAUGAGGUGUGUGAUGGUGUGUGUGUGUGAUGUGUGUGUGAUGGGUGUGUGUGAUAUGGGGUGUGUGUGAGGUGUGUGUGAUGUGGGGUGUGUGAUGUGGAGUAUGUGUGUGAUGUGGGGUGUGUGUCUAAUGUGAGGUGUGUGUGAUGUAGUGUGUGUGUGAUAUGGGGCAUGUGUGAUGUGGAGUGAGUGUGUGAUGGGUGUGUGUGAUGUGUGUGUGAUGUGGGGUGUGUGUGUGAGGUAUGUGUGUGAUGUAUUGUGUGUGAUGUGGGGUGUGUGAUGUGGGGUGUGUGUGUGAUGUGAGGUGUGUGUGAUGUGAGGUGUGUGUGCGACGUAGUGUGUGUGAUGUGGGGUGUGUGAUGUGAGGUGUGUGUGAUGUGGGGUGUGUGUGAUGUGAGGUGUGUGUGAUGUAGUGUGUGUGUGAUGGGUGUGUGUGAUGGGUAUGUGCAUAAUGUGAGGUGUGUUUGAUGUAGUGUGUGUGUGAUGUGGGGGGUGUGUCUAAUGUGAGGUGUGUGUGUGUGUGAUGUGGGAUGUGUGAUGUGUGUGUGAUCUGAGGUAUGUUUGAGGUAGUGUGUGUGUGAUGGGUGUGUGAUGUGAGGUAUGUUUGAGGUGUGUGUGUGAUGUGGGGUGUGUGAUGUGAGGUAUGUUUGAGGUGUGUGUGCUUGUGAUGUGGGGUGUGAUGUGGGGUGUGUGAUAGGUAUGUUUGAGGUGUGUGUGUGAUGUAGUGUGUGUGAUGUGAGGUAUGUUUGAGGUAGUGUGUGUGUGAUGUGGGGUAUGUGUGUGAUGUGGGGUGUGUGAUGUGGGGUGUGUGAUGUGGGGUGUGUGAUGUGAGGUAUGUUUGAGGUAGUGUGUGUGUGAUGUGAGGUGUGUGUCUAAUGUGAGGUGUGUGUGAUGUGGAGUGUGUGUGAUGGGUAUGUGUGGGAUGGGUGUGUGUCUGUGUGCGUGUUCGUAUGUGUGUGUCUGACUAGAGGAGAUUUCACAUGUGUGCUCACCCCCCACCCUUCUUCCCUGCCAUGCUGGUUCUGACUGUCCAACGGUGUCCAUGGUACUUUGCCCUUCCCUUUCUGUUGUAGAGUCUACCUGCACUCUAAAAAGUGAUCCGUGUCUUCCCUGUGUUCUAGUUGCUUACAAACAUGCUUCUGCCCUGCUAGAUUUCUCUGAUCCAUCUCAGCUUUUUCAACAACUAGCAGCAUUCUUGGCACAUGAUAGAUGCUCAAUUAUGUUGCAGGAAUGGAAGGAAGAAAGGGAGGAAAGAAAGAAGGGAGGAAGGGGGAAGGAAGCGGAAGGAAGGGAGGGAAAAAUGAAUGAAUUGGUGAAAGGAUAAAUGGAUAAAAGGAAGGAAGGAUGGAUAGAUGAAUGGAUGGGUGGAGGGAAUGAAGGACGGGUGGUACAUCAAUGAAUGGAUCAAUGAAGAAAUGGAUGGAAGGAAGGAAGAGAGAAAGAAAAAGAAAGAAGAAAGAAAGAAAAGAAAGGAAGGAAGGAAGAAAGAAGCAGGUGGGUGGGCGGCUGGCUGCGCGGGCAGGUGAGGAGAUGGAUAAAUGGUCGUAGAGUAAAACGCCUUUCCCUUGGCCCACCCUGCCUCCCUCGCCUUUUCCGUAAUGCUUCUGUCCCUUUGUUAGGCCUUGGGGAUAUAGAGUUGAAUGGGGCCUCUCACCUGCUCAUUAGGGCCCCGGUCUGGUGUGGAAGACACAACUGAGGCACUCUCUUGGUCCAGCCACAGCUUUGCAGCUCCACCCAUCCCCCGACUCCUGGGCCAGGCAGGCAGAUACAGGGAGGUAACUGCACGCAGCACGCAUGCACACAGUUCCAGGUGGCCUGUGUAUGCAGGAGGCACUCCCCAGCCCCAGAUGUUUUACAUUUGUUGCAGAGAACACGGCCCAUGUCAGCAGACAUGGCUGGGGUCAGGGUGACAUCAAGGGGGCCAGGCCCGGAGGCUCUCGGUCAAGAAGACUAAUGAACCUGCCGCCCGUUUCUGCCUGAGCCUGGGUCCCCUCGGGCAUGUGAAGCAAACCCUGAAACCCACCACUGGCCAGGGAACGGCCCCUGUCAUUUUUGGCUUUUCAUGGGUGAUACGGUAUUUCCCCUUGGAGGGCUGGUUCAGCUCAUAUAUCAAAAGCUGUGGUAAUUAUUUCCUCCCACUGAGGAAGGCUUCCAUUUAGCUUUCUCUACCCCCCCCCCCUUAUUAAUUAUCUAAUUACAACCACAUUCUCCAAGAGAGAGCAGCCUUUGACUUUCUGCCCAGGACCACUUAAAAAAGGCUUAAAUAUUUGGAGUGCUCUGAACUUUGAAAAAAGUGUGUGUACGUGUGUGUGUGUGUGUGUGUGUGUGGUUUUCCUAUGCAUGGGUUUCAGGGAAAAUAUGUCUUGGCUUUUUCAGACCAUUGCCUUGGUUCAACAAAGGUUCCUGGAGGUCUCUGAGGAUGUAGGCUGCUGGGGUGAAGCCUGGGGCUGGGGGUUGGGAGAGGGCUGGGGGUGAAGGAGCGGAACCACACGUCCCCCCUGCACACUGCUGUGCAACAUCAGACACCCACGCCCACAGGGACACAGACCCACGCACACAGAUGCACACACCCACACAAAAACAUGCACACUGACACUCCCACAGGGACACACACACAGACCCACUCAGGAGGAUGUACAUGCUUACACACACACACUGACACAUGGACCCACUCACGUGGAUGUACACACUUACAAACAUGCACACUAGCACUUCCACGGGAAAACACACGCACUCACAUGGCUUCACACACACACAGACAUACACAUGCAUACUGACACUCCCACAGGGACACACAGACCCACUCAUGGAUGCACAUGCUCACACAGACACACGCAUGCACACUGGCACACACACAGGCCAACUUACACGAUGCACACGCUCACACAAUUUACACAACUUGCACAUGGACACACACACUCUGGACAUUCUUUCAUACACUCACACUCUCACACUAGUGGGCACACUCACAGACACACACACGGGAUGUCACCGAGCACCACGUCACCCGUCCCUCCAGCUUCCACAUCCUCCCCCCAGUGCCUGGGGCCUCCCUGGACCUCCUUCCCUGUGGCAGAAUCCUCACGGUGACCCCUCUCCUGGCAGCCGCCUUGGGGAGCCCAUGCCUGCCUCUGGGCUGACACCCACCCCUCCCACCACGCUCAGCCCCUCUGCGGGAGGAGGGUCUCGUCGCGCUGGUUUGCCCCUUGGCUCAGGGGAGCUCUCCAGUAAUUCUCGCUGAACACUCACCUCCCGCGAGCUCUGCAGGUCAACUGGCUGUUCUCAUGUUUGUGCAAGAGGUGUGGGAGUGAGCACUUACACGGCCAGGCCCUGUGGUGAGCAGUAAAGGCCCCAGGUCUCAGGGCCAGUCUUCAGCGAUCCCUGCUAGAGCUCAGGUCUCCUGGCAGGACAGCAACACAGCCUGGGGGCUGCUGCAGGCUGGCCUGGGUGUGUGGCAGAAGCGGCCCUGAGGCGCGGCGCGGGGCCCACCUGUGUUCGCCACACUCCCGACCAGGUGCUGAGGCCAGUGGCGUGUCCCCUGCCCUGUGGGACCCACUGAGGUGCCCCAAGACCUUGGGCUUAUGACACCACAUCCCUGUGCACCCUGGGUCUCAGACGCUGGCCCCGGCCACCUCUCAGCACCUUCUCUUUGAGCUUGGCAGGCACAGAGGGAGGCGCGGGAUUGGGGUCCCCACCCCGGCUUCCUGGAGGACCUGGACUUUCCUCCUGCCUGUGUCUCCUCCUCCUGCAGGUGGGAACCAGGCUCUGGGUAGCGCCUGAGUGGGUUCUUUCCCCAAAGCGCUCCCGGGACAGCUGGUUGCAGCCCCAGAGCUGCACCAAGCCUGGCACACCCACAGUUUGGCCCACAAGUGCGCUUAGAAGUCACUUGUGUGGCAUGAGGGGACCUUGUGGGGCUGGAAGAAUUGUGUGUCUUGAUCAUAGUGAGGGGUGCAAGAAACAACACGCAUGAUGAAACUGCAGGAAGUACACAUACACCACUCACACACACACACAAACGCACAAUACACACACAAACACACAUAUAAACGCACACAAUACACACACAAAAACACACAAACACUCCACAUACCCACGUACACACAUAAACACACACCACGCGCCACACAAAUAUACCACACACUACACACACCCCCCCCACACUGUACAUACACACCACAUACACACACACCACACAAACACACUACACCCCCCACUUACAAACACACACCACCUACACCACACACAAACACACAUCACACGGCACACAAACAUACCACACACUACACACACACCCCACAUUGUACAUACGCACCACAUACACAAACACAUACCACACAAACACACCACACCCCCACAUACACACACAAACUCACGCCACAUACACCACACACCAUACAAAGAUACCACACACACAGACAUACCACAUACACAUACACAUAGAUACCAUACCGUACACACUACCCACUAUAUACCACAUAUACAUACCCCACACCACACAUACAUACACAUGCCACACUGUACACAUAUACCCCCACACACAAAAUACCACAAUCCCCCACACAAACACACACCACAUACACCAUGCACCAUACAUACCACACACUACACACACACUUCACACUGUACAUAGACACCACAUACACACACAUACCACACACACAAACACACCACACCCCCACAUACACACAAACACAAACCACAUGCACCACACACCACACAAACAUACCACACACUGCACACACCACACAUACCACAUACACACACACGCACACACAUACAACAUACCAUGUACACUACACACUAUAUACCACACAUACAUACCCCACACCACACACACCCACACGAGUGACAUGUGAAUAAGCUCUUGGUCCAUACUGGUGCCAGAUGCCUGGGUGUGACGUGGCGACACCACUGUAUGUGUGGCAUAUAAUGUGGUAUAUAAUAUACCAUGUGGUAUGUUGUCUGUGUGGAUAUGUAUGUGGUAUGUUUGUGCAGUGUGUGGGGUGUGUGUAGUAUGCAGUGUGUUUGUGGUGUGCGGUGUGUGUGUGUAUGUGGGGAUGUGGUGUGUUUGUGUGUGGUAUGUGUUUGUGUAUGUGGUGUGUAUGUACAGUGUGGGGUGUGUGUAGUGUGUAGUAUGUUUGUGUGGUGUGUGUGUGUAUGUGGAGGUGUGGUGUGUUUGUGGGUGUGGUAUGUGUAUGUGGUGUGUAGUGUUUGUGGGUGUGGUAUGUGUAUGUGGUGUGUAUGUAGUGUGGGGUGUGUGUAGUGUGUGGUAUGUUUGGUGUUUGUGUAUGUGGGGGUGGGGUGUGUUCGUGGGUGUGGUAUGUGUAUGUGGUGUGUAUGUAGUGUGGGGUGUGUGUAGUGUGUGGUAUGUUUGGUGUCUGUGUGUGUAUGUGGGGGUGGGGUGUGUUCGUGGGUGUGGUAUGUGUAUGUGGUGUGUGUGUAGUGUGGGGUGUGUGUAGUGUGUGGUAUGUUUGGUGUUUGUGUAUGUGGGGGUGGGGUGUGUUUGUGGGUGUGGUAUGUGUAUGUGGUGUUUAUGUAGUGUGGGGUGUGUGUAGUGUGUGGUAUGUUUGUGUGGUGUGUGGUGUGUGUGAUGUGUGUGUGUGGGAGGGGUGUGGUGUGUUUGUGUGGUGUGUGGUGUAUGUAGUUUGUGUGUGUAUGUGGCAGUGUGGUGUGUUUGUGUGUGGUAUUUGUAUGUGGUAUGUACAGUGUGGGGUGUGUGUAGGUGUGUAGUAUGUUUGUGUGGUGUGUGUAUGUGGGGGUGUGGUGUGUUUGUGUGGUAUGUGUAUGUGGUGUGUAUGUAGUGUGGGGUGUGUGUAGCGUGUGGUAUGUUUGUGUGGUGUGUGUGUGUAUGUGGAGGUGUGGUGUGUUUGUGGGUGUGGUAUGUGUAUGCGGUGUGUAUGUAGUGUGGGGUGUGUGUAGCGUGUGGUAUGUUUGGUGUCUGUGUGUGUAUGUGGGGGUGGGGUGUGUUUGUGGGUGUGGUAUGUGUAUGUGGUGUGUAUGUAGUGUGGGGUGUGUGUAGCGUGUGGUAUGUUUGGUGUCUGUGUGUGUAUGUGGGGGUGGGGUGUGUUCGUGGGUGUGGUAUGUGUAUGUGGUGUGUAUGUAGUGUGGGGUGUGUGUAGUGUGUGGUAUGUUUGGUGUCUGUGUGUGUAUGUGGGGGUGGGGUGUGUUCGUGGGUGUGGUAUGUGUAUGUGGUGUGUGUGUAGUGUGGGGUGUGUGUAGUGUGUGGUAUGUUUGGUGUUUGUGUAUGUGGGGGUGGGGUGUGUUUGUGGGUGUGGUAUGUGUAUGUGGUGUUUAUGUAGUGUGGGGUGUGUGUAGUGUGUGGUAUGUUUGUGUGGUGUGUGGUGUGUGUGAUGUGUGUGUGUGGGAGGGGUGUGGUGUGUUUGUGUGGUGUGUGGUGUAUGUAGUUUGUGUGUGUAUGUGGCAGUGUGGUGUGUUUGUGUGUGGUAUUUGUAUGUGGUAUGUACAGUGUGGGGUGUGUGUAGGUGUGUAGUAUGUUUGUGUGGUGUGUGUAUGUGGGGGUGUGGUGUGUUUGUGUGGUAUGUGUAUGUGGUGUGUAUGUAGUGUGGGGUGUGUGUAGCGUGUGGUAUGUUUGUGUGGUGUGUGUGUGUAUGUGGAGGUGUGGUGUGUUUGUGGGUGUGGUAUGUGUAUGCGGUGUGUAUGUAGUGUGGGGUGUGUGUAGCGUGUGGUAUGUUUGGUGUCUGUGUGUGUAUGUGGGGGUGGGGUGUGUUUGUGGGUGUGGUAUGUGUAUGUGGUGUGUAUGUAGUGUGGGGUGUGUGUAGCGUGUGGUAUGUUUGGUGUCUGUGUGUGUAUGUGGGGGUGGGGUGUGUUCGUGGGUGUGGUAUGUGUAUGUGGUGUGUAUGUAGUGUGGGGUGUGUGUAGUGUGUGGUAUGUUUGGUGUCUGUGUGUGUAUGUGGGGGUGGGGUGUGUUUGUGGGUGUGUGUAUGUGGUGUGUAUGUAGUGUGGGGUGUGUGUAGCGUGUGGUAUGUUUGUGUGGUGUGUGUGUGUAUGUGGGGGUGGGGUGUUUUCGUGGGUGUGGUAUGUGUAUGUGGUGUGUAUGUAGUGUGGGGUGUGUGUAGCGUGUGGUAUGUUUGUGUGGUGUGUGUGUGUAUGUGGGGGUGGGGUGUUUUCGUGGGUGUGGUAUGUGUAUGUGGUGUGUAUGUAGUGUGGGGUGUGUGUAGUGUGUGGUAUGUUUGGUGCCUGUGUGUGUAUGUGGGGGUGGGGUGUGUUUGUGGGUGUGGUAUGUGUGGAAACUGGGUGAAAGGCACAUGGGACAUCUCUGUGUUGUUUUUGCAACUUCCCGUGCGUCUGCGAUUGUUUCGGAAGCACACAUUUUAAAGCAAGAAUCCGCCGCUGACAGCUCCCCCGGCGGCUGACCCAUUUCUCUGCGUCCUCCUCGCUGAAACCCAGCCGUCUGCUGCCCGAAGCCCCACAGCUCCCUCGGGGCUGCACGGGGCCAACGUGCCGAGCCUCUCUUGUCCCCAGGCAGCCUGUUCUGAGGGGCUCACCCACAGCCAGACAGCAUUCAUGGCUGCGCUGAGCACGGGCCAGGGAGAGGCCCCGGGGUGGCUGUCCGUCGCGUCGGCGGCGCAAGUGGAAUUGGGAUGCAUUCGAGUCUGUAACUUCUGAAACCUGAACAACCUCAGGAGGCCCCCACCUCUGCCCUCCACCAGCGUCGAGAGAAGGGACAGCAGUGACAUCGGACAGAAGACUCGGGCUCCCGUCCUCCCCCAGGACGGUCCCCACAUAGGAAGGGCACUCCCAGCCCUCUUGCUGGUGACAUUGUCAUGGUCAUCUUGUCUCUGUUUGGAUUUUUCUUCUGGGUCUUAUGUUUGGGGGGAGGUUUAUUCUUUCUGAAAAUGUCUAGAUUCAGGAACACAUUUAUGAGGAUUUGGAUUUUGAAUUUGUAUUUCCCUCUAAGUGCCUUUUUUAAUGUCUAUUUUUUUAAUAAAACAGAAAUGCAUUCUUGUACAAUUCUGUUGAAACUGGACCAAGGCUCUCAGAAGAGGACCCCCGAGUUCCUUCCCCUCCCCCGAGCCUCUGCAUGAUUGUUUCAAGUCAGCCUGGAAUUCUUACUUUCACGCCGCUAUUCUUUUCCUUUCUCCGUGAUUGCUUGGCUAGCCAUUUAAAAAAAAUAUUCUCUGUUCAGUGUA